rnacentral:lncRNA from 1 species
AUGGAAUUUGACAACAUGACAGAAAUGCCACUGCACAAGUAUAUCCAUCUCUAGGCUUUUUGUUAUGCAUAACUGUGAGGAAAACAAUCAGUGGAGUAAAAUAGCCCUUUGAGGAGUGUAAUUUGGUAACAAUUUGUAAACAUGAUAAUGUGCCUUCUUAAUUCAAAGACAUUUGAUAGAGAUAUCUUGACACUUUCAUUACAGGAGCUGUCAGGAAUAAUCCGGAGGAGGAGAAGAGUCUUAUUGGAAAGUGCCUUCUUAUCUUUGCUGGUAAUGAAUCAAUGUGACCUCCAAAAUAUAUGUUCUGUUAUAACCCUUCGGAAGGAGCCAUAUCAGAAUGCACUGAGCAGCUAUCGUACACAUCUGAACAAGAGAAGACAGCUUUGUCUCACCCCUUCUCCUGGAUGGAAGGCCUGCACAGUCUUUCUAUUGCGUGCGUGUAUUUUUAAAAACCUGCCAUGCUAAUAUUGACCUAAAAGGAAAACACUGGAGCAAGGAAGCCCUUCAGAGCGGGGACUGGCUCUUACUCUCUGCUUACAUGGCCCAUCAGGUGCAGUUGUUAUCAGAAAGAGUCCCCUUAGCACAAAGGGGACACCUGAAGUAUAGGUAACAGUAACACUAAUUAUGCAAAACAGGGACAGCUAUGAUGACAAAUUGUCAUUAUUUUUGUUUCCUGCUGCUCUUACAUCUGUAGGUAAGAUUAAAAUUUAAUGGCUAGUUCAUUCCCAUAGCUGCACUCUUAUUUCUCCUGGCUGGCUGCUGCAGCACAUCAGGGUAUUGCUAGAACUUUCUGCUCGACAGGGGAGGGCCUGGCUGAGAAAGGAGGACUUGUGCUUGAAACCAGUCAGGGUGAUAACAUGGGAGUCUGAUUUCCACUUGAGGAUCUUUUAAAUGGGUUCUUGAGGGAAACAUAAUAACAUCGGAACCACCCUCAAUUAACCAGCACCUCAGUGACAGAAAACAGUACGAUAAAUUCAGGGAUUUCUCCUAAGAGGGGUCUCGUAAGUUAAAAAUCUGCUUGGUUGAACAAAAGUAGAGGAUGUGUAUGUUCAUUUUGGAACUCUCCAACAUGAGAACCAACACUGAAUUUUUAACAUCUGUGUAUGUGUAUGUAAUGUAGAGUGGUUACUGACAAUAGUUACGUGCCUCAUUUAUUUGUUGGCUCAAACACACCUCAUUCUGUUCCACACUGGAAUUGGGUUCCAGCAGAGACUGGUCACGGAGGCCCCCAGCGGAGCCUGCAAGUCCCUGCUUUGUGUCAACCACCUGUGUUUCCCAAAGGACAUCGUGCCAACCAUCUGUGGCUAAACCGCUACAGGACUUCUUGGUGGGAUUAAACGUGGGUUUCCGUGACUGCGCUGGCUGAGCUACCUCUUGUGAAGAGCCAGACUCCGAGUAUUGGAAGGACUUCAAGGCUUGAUUUGCAAAGGUUGAGAGCUCUCCGAUUCCCAUCUCAUUCACUCAA